UACAGAGGUCCCAAGCGUUGUUCGGAUUCACUGGGCGUAAAGGGUGCGUAGUCGGUCGGGUAAGUCUGAUGUGAAAUCUCACAGCUUAACUGUGAAACUGCAUUGGAUACUAUCCGGCUCGAGGAAUGGAGGGGAGACUGGAAUACUUGGUGUAGCAGUGAAAUGCGUAGAUAUCAAGUGGAACACCAGUGGCGAAGGCGAGUCUCUGGACAUUUCCUGACGCUGAGGCACGAAAGCCAGGGGAGCAAACGGG
rnacentral:rRNA from 1 species